GACGAACGCUGGCGGUGUGCUUAACACAUGCAAGUCGAACGGAAAGGCCCUGCUUUUGUGGGGUGCUCGAGUGGCGAACGGGUGAGUAACACGUGAGUAACCUGCCCUUGACUUUGGGAUAACUUCAGGAAACUGGGGCUAAUACCGGAUAGGAGCUCCUGCUGCAUGGUGGGGGUUGGAAAGUUUCGGCGGUUGGGGAUGGACUCGCGGCUUAUCAGCUUGUUGGUGGGGUAGUGGCUUACCAAGGCUUUGACGGGUAGCCGGCAUGAGAGGGUGACCGGCCACAUUGGGACUGAGAUACGGCCCAGACUCCUACGGGAGGCAGCAGUGGGGAAUAUUGCACAAUGGGCGGAAGCCUGAUGCAGCAACGCCGCGUGCGGGAUGACGGCCUUCGGGUUGUAAACCGCUUUCGCCUGUGACGAAGCGUGAGUGACGGUAAUGGGUAAAGAAGCACCGGCUAACUACGUG
rnacentral:rRNA from 1 species